AAGGCGUCUAAGGUAGGCUUCCACUACAAUACCUUACUGAUGAGUCCAGUAGUGGAAGCCGGGACGAAACGCCAA
rnacentral:hammerhead_ribozyme from 15 species